ACAGCCAAUCAGGUUUUUUCAGAUGGGAGAGCUUUCCUGUACGUUAGCAGAGCAGCCAUUAUGCAGCUUAUCAAACGAGGGAGAAGAUGAGAUGAUCAGAGAUCGAUAAAAGUUUGGUUUUUGUUCAUUUUACUCGGUGGUGAAGUUGGGUUUUGCCUGAAGAAAAAAAUACUAUUUUCAUGUACUCAACGGGACUUGGUUGGGCCGAAUAAAGCGGAUUCUUUUCUGAGAUCCAUGAGCGGAAGAAACAAGAUGGCGAACCAACCCUGAACCAUGAAAGUGAUCCUAGCGAAGCACCAAGCGCCCUCUGCUGGACACUGGACAACCCUUACUCUACUGGAACUGCAGGUGGCGUUUGAGUCUGUGAGGCGGUAUGGAGACGUUAGCCAGCAUCAAAAUGGCAGAAGGACCAGAGUCAUCGUCAGUCGACUUUGUUGCUCUCCAGUCUUACAGGUAAACGCAGCUGAGGCAUCAACAUCCCAUCACUCCAGCCAGCCUUCAGCUCAGGGACCAGAGGUUCAGGCACUUACCUCCAGACACAUGAUAUGAACACCACCGCUGGCAUUGUGGCCUCAACCAUGUCUGGUAAUCCCUAUUCCAGCAAUAACAAGGACCCUCUGCUCAGCUGACUUGAGGGGGGGGGCAAUGGAAAGAAAUCCUUUUUCCUGUUGCUCUAAAUGGAUAGCUAUUAAUACACUUAUUUAAUACAGUUAAUAUCAUCUUAUUAUACUCUGAAUGUCAGAAUCCAGCUUCUGCUCUGAUGAACAUCAAUCCCCAUAUUAAUAAUGGCCCCCCCCUGAAAAUCCUCCCUAAAAGAAAAGAGGGAUAAGCUGCAGUCAGAAAGUUCUGAACGAUCCUCACGGACACACUGACCCAACCACGGUGGGAGCUCACCUUAGUCGGGCAGCUGUGCUGCAGCACGGUCCUCCCUUUCCUCAGCCUGGUAGGGCUGAAGAUUCCAGAGGAGACAGUCCACGGCAGCCCCGAAGGGCAGCCGAAAACAAGAACUGCCUCCCCUGGCCGUGCAGCCGGACUGCUGCCGAAUUCCAGGGAGGGCGGGGGGAUCUGUGGGAGGGGGAUGAAGACGAUGCAGAUUUGAGCAGAUCUUUGACACCCCCUACUACAGGGGUCAGGGACCCCAUUCUUCAGCUCCACCUGGAAAACGGUGAGGACACAAUCAGAUCUAUUUCCUGUUCUUCAAACAAUGAUGAAUUUGGGUUUUAGUAAAACAUCGUUGCUGUCGCUCACCUGAAUCCUGUGGUUCCCCUUCACCACGUGGACACAGGUUAUGAUGUCACCAUAGGGCGAUAUCAUAAAACCUGUGCCCACACUCCUAAACAAGUUCAGGAGGGAUACACUUCUAACGAGAUGUUGCAUAUUUCUAUUUUAGAAUAAAUGUUGUAUAUCUUACUGGGUUGCCAACCUAUUGUUGGAAUGGACUCGGAGCUGCUGCCAGACAUUGUCAUGUUCUGUAGCCUCACUGACUGAAGCUUGAGGCACUUCUGUUUUUAUUCAAAUACAAGUCACGUUUUAUAACAAUAUAAAUAAAUAAAUAUAAACGAUACGUUUUUAUCAAUGGUUAAACAGGGUUAAUGACUAAACCAACAAGAAGGCAUCCAGAAAUGAUUUUUUCCAAACACAGGAUUUGUUAGCUGUCCUAUGAAGUCUGGACCACAGAACAAAUCCUGAAGGUUGUUGAGUUUUUUCAGAAAAAAAAAGAAAACAACACUUAUGGUGAAAAAAAGUAAAAAUCUAUUUAUUUAAAGCACAAAAUGAUGAGAAUCUAUGUCCUGAUAGCAGCAGAAGCCACACCACAGAAGGAAUGGUGGCGUCCACAAUAUCAGGGAUAACCUCCCGCCUCCUUAAAAGGGGGACGGAGCUCCCUUCAGGUGAGGGGGGGCUUUGAGAAUCUAUUGUAGUACUUUUAAAUGAUUGAUAAGAAGAAAAGGGAGAGGACAAAGAGGAAGCACAUUCUCACCAAUGUUGUUACAUGGAUGAGGGCGAUGUCAUUAUCCUCAUCCACAUUUUCAAUGGUGGCCUGCAAAUAACCCCCACUCUUCAGCUUGACCUGAAUCCUGUGGCUCCCCUUUACAACGUGGGCACAGGUUAUAAUAUCACCAUAGGGUGAGAUUAUGAACCCUGUGCCCCCACUCCUGAAUGUGCUCCUAAGGGAUGCACUUCUAAAGAGAGACAGAGGGGACAACAGAUUUAAAGGGCAUGUAUGCCAUGCAAUUCUUAAGCUUACAUGCAUAUAUAUAUGACAAUAUGUUACCUUUGGCUCACUUAAGAACGAUUUUUGAAAAUAAAGUUAGUUAUUUAAGUCGCUUUUGCAUAUUUGUAUAUUGGUAUAUUUGUGUACAUAUAUAUAUUUGUAUAUUUAUAUAUUUACUUUUGUGUGUGUGUAAGAUAAUUGUUGUUUUCUUCUUUCUCUUUACACCAAUGUGGGACAGUUUGCAAUUUUGUUGUACUGUUGUACCAAGUGUGUGAUUGUACAAUGACAAUAAAGCUUUAUCUAUCUA